rnacentral:rRNA from 1 species
GAUGAACGCUGGCGGCGUGCCUAAUACAUGCGAGUCGAGCGAACGGACGAGAAGCUUGCUUCUCUGAUGUUAGCGGCGGACGGGUGAGUAACACGUGGAUAACCUACCUAUAAGACUGGGAUAACUUCGGGAAACCGGAGCUAAUACCGGAUAAUAUUUUGAACCGCAUGGUUCAAAAGUGAAAGACGGUCUUGCUGUCACUUAUAGAUGGAUCCGCGCUGCAUUAGCUAGUUGGUAAGGUAACGGCUUACCAAGGCAACGAUGCAUAGCCGACCUGAGAGGGUGAUCGGCCACACUGGAACUGAGACACGGUCCAGACUCCUACGGGAGGCAGCAGUAGGGAAUCUUCCGCAAUGGGCGAAAGCCUGACGGAGCAACGCCGCGUGAGUGAUGAAGGUCUUCGGAUCGUAAAACUCUGUUAGUAGGGAAGAACAUAUGUGUAAGUAACUGUGCACAUCUUGACGGUACCUAAUCAGAAAGCCACGGCUAACUACGUG